GUGCCAGCAGCCGCGGUAAUACGUAGGGGGCAAGCGUUGUCCGGAAUUAUUGGGCGUAAAGAGCGCGUAGGCGGUCCGAUAAGUCGGCUGUGAAAGUCCAGGGCUCAACCCUGGAAAGCCGGCCGAUACUGUCGGACUAGAGUCCGGAAGAGGCGAGUGGAAUUCCCGGUGUAGCGGUGAAAUGCGCAGAUAUCGGGAGGAACACCAAUGGCGAAGGCAGCUCGCUGGGACGGUACUGACGCUGAGGCGCGAAAGCGUGGGGAGCAAACAGGAUUAGAUACCCUGGUAGUCCACGCCGUAAACGAUGGGCACUAGGUGUGGGAGGUGUCGACUCCUCCCGUGCCGCAGCUAACGCAUUAAGUGCCCCGCCUGGGGAGUACGGCCGCAAGGCUAAA
rnacentral:rRNA from 1 species